rnacentral:rRNA from 1 species
GACGAACGCUGGCGGCGUGCCUAAUACAUGCAAGUAGAACGCUGAAGGAGGAGCUUGCUCUUCUGGAUGAGUUGCGAACGGGUGAGUAACGCGUAGGUAACCUGCCUGGUAGCGGGGGAUAACUAUUGGAAACGAUAGCUAAUACCGCAUAACAGUAGAUGUUGCAUGACAUUUGCUUAAAAGGUGCAAUUGCCCCACUACCAGAUGGCCCUGCGUUGUAUUAGCUAGUUGGUGGGGUAACGGCUCACCAAGGCGACGAUACAGAGCCGACCUGAGAGGGGUAUCCGCCACCACGGGACUGGGGCCCCGCCCCGACUCCUUCGGGAGGCCGCAGUAGGGGAUCUUCGGCAAUGGACGGAAGUCUGACCGAGCAACGCCGCGUGAGUGAAGAAGGUUUUCGGGUCGUAAAGCUCUGUUGUAAGAGAAGAACGAGUGUGAGAGUGGAAAGUUCACACUGUGACGGUAUCUUACCAGAAAGGGACGGCUAACUACGUG